rnacentral:lncRNA from 1 species
CCCCUAUAACAUACGCUAAUAACUAAUAUGAAGUGACAUCACGCAACUGCGGAUUGAUUCGAGUGUCAUUGAUGAGUCUUUUGUAGAUGAAACGCGCUUCUGGCGUAAAUAUGAAAUUUCAAUCCUGGUAUCUAUGGUGAGUUCAUUGGUAAAUUACUCUUAUAUAUCUCUAAGACAUUACCAUAUUCUGGACCAUUGGUCAUAUAAUUUGUUUGACCCUGACCGAAUGUAAAAUGUCAAAUGUGUCUUUCAUUGGAUCAAUGAUUUGUAUAGUAUAGUUGUUGCCAUACAUAAAUUUUUUU